rnacentral:rRNA from 1 species
AUUGAACGCUGGCGGCAGGCCUAACACAUGCGAGUCGAGCGAGCGGCGGACGGGGGAGUAAUGUAUGGGGACUGCCCGAUAGAGGGGGAUAACUACUGGAAACGGUGGCUAAUACCGCAUACUAUCGGAUAACCCAUAUGGGAUUAGCUAGUAGGUAAGGUAAUGGCUUACCUAGGCGACGAUCCCUAGCUGGUCUGAGAGGAUGAGCAGCCACACUUGGACUGAGACACGGCCCAGACUCCUACGGAGGCAGCAUUGGGGAAUAUUGCCCAAUGGGCGCAAGCCUGAUGCAGCCAUGCCGCGUGUAUGAAGAAGGCCCUAGGGUUGUAAAGUACUUUCAGUCGGGAGGCGUUACCGACAGAAGAAGCACCGGCUAACUCCGUGCCAGCAGCCGCGGUAAUUC